rnacentral:lncRNA from 1 species
AACACUCACCCUAUGCAUCUGUUUGUGUGCAUUAGGUCCAAAAGAAGUCAAAGAAUGAAAAAGGAAAGAAUUAGAGCAUAAUUGGACGUCAAAGCUGCCGAAACAAGCUAAGUACGAGCAUUAGGAAGCUGAACAUGGCCGUGUUGGUUUCAACACUAGCCGUGUUCCUAACACGGGCAUCAACACGGCCGUGUUGCAUGCAUUAAAACAUCAAAGAAAAGGAAGUUCUUAGGGAGCACGACCACAGAGAGUAACACGGCCAGGAACACUAGCCCGUGUCCCCAACACGGCCAAGAACACGACCGUGUUGGCGGCGACAGGAGGAAUAAUUAAAAAAAUGAAGAGAG